GGACCUUACCUGGCCUUGACAUGGUAGGAACCCUUAAGAGAUUAGGGGGUGCUAGCUUGCUAGAACCUACACACAGGUGCUGCACGGCUGUCGUCAGCUCGUGUCGUGAGAUGUUGGGUUAAGUCCCGCAACGAGCGCAACCCUCGUCUUUAGUUGCUAACAGUUAGGCUGAGCACUCUAAAGAGACUGCCUCCGUAAGGAGGAGGAAGGUGAGGACGACGUCAAGUCAUCAUGGCCCUUACGGCCAGGGCUACACACGUGCUACAAUGGGGCGUACAGAGAGCUGCAAUACCGCGAGGUGGAGCCAAUCUCUUAAAGCGUCUCUCAGUUCGGAUUGUUCUCUGCAACUCGAGAACAUGAAGCUGGAAUCACUAGUAAU
rnacentral:rRNA from 1 species